GCCUCUGCUGCUGCUGCUGCUGCUUCUGCGGCAGCUGCUUCUGCGGUGGCCUCCUCCAACGCUACUGUUAAUGCUGUGGUCGCUGCUGCGGUCACUGCGGCUUUCGCUGCCGUUACUGCUACUGCUGACCACAAAGGCAGUGAACCAACUCCUCAGAGGCACAGUGGGGCUACUAACCACAAGGAUUUUGCUCUUAAGGCAAAAGAAGAAUAUGAUAAGAGUGAACCUGCCACACAUUUGAUGGAAACGAACAGAAGUGAAAGUAAAAGCUAUUUUCCUGGAGAUUCCAUGCCAAUGUUUGACAAGUGUGCUGCAGACACAAGUGCUAUGCUACAGGAGAAACAGAGCUGUGCUCACCAACUCCAUCAGGAUGGACAAAGCCCUGCAAAGAGCACAUCUAAAGAAAAGCACGAGGCCAAGAAGCAAAUCAAUGGUAUGGAAGGCCUGGAAG
rnacentral:lncRNA from 1 species